AGCACUUGUCUGUAAUUACAUGGUUAAUGAGGGGUAUUGAUUAAGGGGGCAGGGUCAGGAAGGGGCUGAGCACAGAUCCCUGCAUGUGACCCAGAGAGGAGCCUGGCUGGACAAGAGGAGUUUUGCAGAAUGGAUGAGUGGAAGCCUGAUCCUUCUUUCUUCUACUGGACAACUUCAAGUCUCCUUCAGAUGAGCUCCAUCUAGUCUCUAACAUGAGAAGCAGCAGAAACAACACCCAUUUUCAUCCUCCGGGGUCCCAUUGCGGACACUCACCCACAGGAACCCUGGUCGCUGUCAAGAGUCCCGUCCGACCUCUGCACUGCACAGUGCCCAGGGAGGCAAGAAACAUGCAGCGGAAUUCUGCCUCUCUGGCUUCACAAGAAGAGCAUCAAGUAGAAACACCUGCUCCUUUGGUGCGGGAACCGAGCGUGUUUCAAAGGCCAACGAGAGCAUCGAUGCACCUUGUUUCUAAGUGUUUAUUAUUUUCUUGGUGAUAAGUGUCCAGCUGACACAAUAAUUCGGAUGGCACCACAAGAGCUGUCACAGCUCCGUGCAAUUAGAUUGUGCCUUACAAAGGCACAUUCCAUCUUCCUGGGCAACACGGUGCUUGCAGGGAUGCUGCGUGUUGUUUGGUUCAUCAGCUCAAUGUCAAAGCCUUUCAGCUGUCCUGCUCCACCACACAGCCAGCAAAGUUUCUUGGAUUUCUAGGAGCAUGUGGAUCCUUGUAUCUUGGUAUGGGACAUGAGCCAGGUAGCUGAACAUGGGUGCAAGAGGUCAGAUUUGUCCUGCCACUGACACAAAGAGAUUAACUGUACUGCUUUGUGAGUCUGGUUGCUGAUCUCCAAGGCAGGAAUUGUCCUAAUUACUUGCCAUAGCAUCAUUUUGAUUAUGUUUUACUGAAAAUCCUGCCUGGUGUUUGACCUAUGUCUUCUGAAAUGGACAGCUUGCUCUGCAGGGAAGGGAUGGUGCCCUGCGUGUGAAGGGGCAGGACUUUGGGAGGGGUUUAAUUAAAAGGAGCUUUGUUUAAUGGAGAGGCUAGAGGUCUGAGCAGGGUGUUGGUUGCCAUGUGGAGUCCAAAUACACCCAGGCACUGGCAGGGCCUUACAAGCUGUGAAACAGCCUUCACACAGGCUGUUGCUGGUGGAUGGUCUCCAGCUGACAUGGUGCCAACCUGGGCUCCUGCCACGCAGGGUCCAGCCUCGCAGCUCCUGCACUGCACAGAUGGGGUGUAGCUGGGGAUGUGGGGUGCACCACGCACAGCUUGUGGGUGUACAACAUCGAAUCGAUCUGAUGAGGGGACUCUGUGACUGCAGAUCUGCUCAGAUGAAACUGCUAUCCAAAUCAACCUAGAAGGGCAUGAGAUACACUCCUGAAAAGCUGGCUUUGCCCCAAACACCCUGCUUUUAAUUUUCUGGCAGGUGUCAGCCAUGCAGGUUGCUCAGAGGGCUGGUGAACUUUGCAGGGAGAAAGCGGAAAAUUUGGGAUUAAUUCAGUAUCAGCAAAAGCUGCUACAAAACCAUCAGCUACUCCUCCAUAAUGGGCUAGGCACCUGCUAUAAAUGGGGAGAGAAAAGCAUCAUGUUGGCAGCUUUUACCCUCCCCUCCCCUGGACACGGGCAUUGUAAAUCCUGGGCCCUUGCUGUUCCUCCCUGCCCACUUCAGAGCUCGUGCACAUACAUUAUCUGCCAGAUGACAGAUGCAGCAGUGACAGAUUAGUUGAGCUGGAGAAAGGCCAUUUGGGCCCUGGGAUACUGGUGACGCUGGUGGAAGAGUCCAACAGCAGGAGCACCCGGAGCAGAGGUUUGUGUUCCUCCUGUAAUCUCAGCAGAGCCAGAAAGCCCAGGGAAGCAAGAAUGGAAGUUUGAGCCAUGAAGCUGGAUAAAACACAUUUUACUUCAGGUCCUGAGCAGGCUGCUCCUGCCUAAAGCCCUUCUGGCGGCUUGAAGGCAAAUCUCUUACCUAAGCCUGGGAAAUGCUCUCCAGCACAUUUCCACUACUUAGCAUCCAGCUUUGUUUCCCCAGGAAUACAGGCACUAGGGUGGUACAGCAAGUUUUCAGCCGUGCAGGGAAGAAAAUAACUCAAACUUCGCUACUGCAGCAUUGUGAGCCCUUUUCCCCACCUCCAGCAUGCUGGCAAAGGCUUCCAGGGGGAGACGGGAAAGCAGUGGGGAGAUGGAAGUGUGACUGCGCAAGUCAGGAGCAAUGUUAGAGAGAUGUGUGAGAGCAAAGCAAGGUCAGCUCUGCUGCCUCUUCGUGCAGUAUGGGUGGAUGCAUUUGCGCUGCCAGCCACUAAUCCAUGCCAGUUUGCACCAGCUGAGCAUGUGGGCCGUGAGUUUUGUGUGCUGAGGGCAUACAAAAUGUUUUGGGUUUUGCUGUGUUCUGCGUGUAAAAAGAAAGAGGAUUGUAUUGGAGCUAUAAUAAGGACAUUUUCAUCAAACAUGCUGAAUAAAUACUGUGCCUUAUUUAUGAGGCUCUAAUUCUCCACUAAAUUAUAACCUGACUAAAACAUGAAUCUAUUCCCUAGUUCCUCACACAACACAGAAAACAGUGCAAAUUUAAAUCCAGAUUAAGUCAUUUUUUGAAGGUAAAGGCAGGUGGGAAAGGCACUGAGUUCCCACAUGUGGCUCCAUUUAGCUGCUGGGGAGGAAGGUACAGCUUGGCAGCUGAAGGUGCAGAUGAACCAUAAACUAAGGAGAUAUGUCACCCAAGAAAGCGUCCCAUUUGCUCACAGUGUGCUUGUCACUUCCAUGACAUCUUUCCUGACCCAGGAUGCCCCCUAUGACAGCCUUCCUCACCCCAACAUGCAGAGCUGCUUGUGUAGACCGUAGGGGCAUGACAGUGAGAACCAAAUGCGACAGUUCUCCCUGGAGCUCCAGAUUUCUCAUCUCAUCUGAUCUCAUGGAUCUGUGAAUAUUUAGAGGGUGAAAUGACUUCCAUGGAGGUCUCUAGCUGCUCCUGAUGCUGUUUGCCUCCAUGGAAAUCCAGUUCCCUCCAGCUUGCUUUUAGGAAGCCCAGUAAGUUUUGCCUUGUGCAGAGCUGACUCCCCAUGGGGAACAUGCCAUGCUGAAUACUCAUCACCUUCCUCUCAAACUAUGAGGUCUUUGACGUCAACCACAAAAGAGCCUCUACAGGAAGAGGGACUAUCAGUUGAAGGGCACCAAAUGCCACCAAAACUGCACUGCCUUUCUUCUUGUUUGCUCCUGGCCAGGUGCUUGUAUUCCCUCAAAGCAAGAAGCAAGUGAGCUCUCAGAUCCUGUGAGGAAAAACAUAACGUUGUUCAGUAAAUGGAAUGAGCCUGUGUUCGCUGAUGUGCCUCACUGCACCGGUGCACACCUGCCUGCGUUCUGAUGGCUGCCAGCAGGCAGUUCCCAGGGUAAUGGCAAUAACCCAGCCUCAUACAAGUCCCCAGUAGUGUGAAAGGUGAUGGGAAAAGAUGGGGAGAUUUCUUUCCUGAGGCUAUUCUUUCUCUGCAUUCUGAAGUUUGAGAUUUCCAUUCCCCCAUUCACAGGUAUAAUGACAUGCUCUUAAUGGCUGUAAAAUUACAGAGCUCUUUUUUAACUCCAGCUACAGCAUAUCACUCUCUGACCUCCUGCAGUAGUGAAUUACAUGAACUGACUGCACAGUACCUCAGGUGUGGUGCUUUGCCUUUUUUUUUUUUCUUUUAAGCUGUAUUAUAUUUGCCUAGCCAUUAAUCUAAUGGAAUAAAACCAUAGUUUUCAUAUUACGAGAUAAGGCAAGAAAAGCAAUAAAUUCCUUUUCACUAUAGCUUGUACAAUUCUAAAAUACUCCUGCCAUUAACAUUC